GAAUUGCAGGACACAUUGAUCAUCGACACUUCGAACGCACUUGCGGCCCCGGGUUCCUCCCGGGGCUACGCCUGUCUGAGCGUCG
rnacentral:rRNA from 1 species